rnacentral:rRNA from 1 species
GACGAACGCUGGCGGCGUGCCUAAUACAUGCAAGUAGAACGCUGAAGAGAGGAGCUUACUCUUCUUGGAUGAGUUGCGAACGGGUGAGUAACGCGUAGGUAACCUGCCUUGUAGCGGGGGAUAACUAUUGGAAACGAUAGCUAAUACCGCAUAACAAUGGAUGACACAUGUCAUUUAUUUGAAAGGGGCAAUUGCUCCACUACAAGAUGGACCUGCGUUGUAUUAGCUAGUAGGUGAGGUAAUGGCUCACCUAGGCGACGAUACAUAGCCGACCUGAGAGGGUGAUCGGCCACACUGGGACUGAGACACGGCCCAGACUCCUAUGGGAGGCAGCAGUAGGGAAUCUUCGGCAAUGGGGGCAACCCUGACCGAGCAACGCCGCGUGAGUGAAGAAGGUUUUCGGAUCGUAAAGCUCUGUUGUAAGUCAAGAACGGGUGUGAGAGUGGAAAGUUCACACUGUGACGGUAGCUUACCAGAAAGGGACGGCUAACUACGUG